CGCGUCUUGAAUACGCUUCAGGACCUCCAAUGGUUCGAUAUCGACCCCAAAGAGUCUCCAAGCGCUUUUCGCUCCGAAGAAAAAACAAAGACCUCGACGAAAUCUAUGACAGCAUAGCUGGCCCCUCCAAGGCUCAAAAAGCGCGCUCUACAGCGGACUUAAGCCUUCCUGGUUCAGGACAAUUCUAUUGUGUAGUUUGCGAUCGACACUUUCAAGACCAAAAGGCUCGAGAUUCCCACCUCAAAACCAAGAAACACGUCAGGCGUGCAAAACGCCUAGAAACACCCCCAUACACAGGCGAGGAACACUUAAAAAUCGAUAAUGGUCCAACGUCGCUCGCCGUGCCCGGGCCGAGUCAAGAAUAGAUAUAUGCGACAGUUAUCACAACACUUUUCCUGAACUGAUAACUUUUAGCAUCUCCCUUGCCAAUAAAAUACUUUACU